rnacentral:rRNA from 1 species
GUGAGGAAUAUUGGACAAUGGGCGCAAGCCUGAUCCAGCCAUGCCGCGUGCAGGAAGACGCAUCUAUGGUGUGUAAACUGCUUUUGUACGGGAAGAAACACUCCCUCGUGAGGGAGCUUGACGGUACCGUAAGAAUAAGGAUCGGCUAACUCCGUGCCAGCAGCCGCGGUAAUACGGAGGAUCCAAGCGUUAUCCGGAAUCAUUGGGUUUAAAGGGUUCGUAGGCGGUUUAAUAAGUCAGUGGUGAAAGCCCAUCGCUCAACGAUGGAACGGCCAUUGAUACUGUUAGACUUGAAUUACAAGGAAGUAACUAGAAUAUGUAGUGUAGCGGUGAAAUGCUUAGAUAUUACAUGGAAUACCAAUUGCGAAGGCAGGUUACUACUUGUGGAUUGACGCUGAUGGACGAAAGCGUGGGGAGCGAACAGGAUUAGAUACCCGGGUAGUCC